AAGUCGUAACAAGGUUUCCGUAGGUGAACCUGCGGAAGGAUCAUUAUCGAGUUUUGAACGGGUUGUAGCUGGCCUUUCACAAGGCAUGUGCACGCCUGACUCAUCCACUCCUUAACCCCUGUGCACUUUUCAUGGAUCAGGCGGAAGGCUGAGAAUUUAUUCUCAGUUCGAUGUCUGCUCUGUGUAAUUUUACUACCAACUCUUGUUGUCAAUGAAUGUCUUCUUGCGGAUAACGCAAACAAUAAAAUAACUUUCAGCAACGGAUCUCUUGGCUCUC
rnacentral:misc_RNA from 1 species